rnacentral:rRNA from 1 species
CCCGUCAAAUCGGGCCAUCACACAGGUGCUGCAUGGCUGUCGUCAGCUCGUGCCGUGAGGUGUUGGGUUCAGUCCCGCAACGAGCGCAACCCUCGCCCUUUGUUGCCAUCGGGUAAAGCCGGGCACUCUAAGGGGACUGCCAGCGACAAGUUGGAGGAAGGAGAGGAUGACGUCAAGUCAUCAUGGCCUUUAUGCCUAGGGCCACACACGUGCAACAAUGGCCGGUACAGACGGAGGCAAUGCCGAGAGGCGGAGCAAACCCGAGAAAACCGGUCCAGUUCGGAUUGAGGUCUGCAACUCGACCUCAUGAAGUCGGAAUCGCUAGUAAUCGCAUAUCAGAACGAUGCGGU